CCAAACUGGAGAAGAUUAAAUGCAAGAAGGUGAUCCGAAGCAGUCAGAGGAGGAGGGGAAUAUGAAUGUUUCAUGUGCUUCUGAGCUCAUGGUGGAAAUGUCAGAGGAGGAGGAUCAUUUGGAGGUGACCACAGCAGAUGUUCAGGAGGACACAGAGAGCGAGGGUGGCGUCUGUCCUCCUCCAACACCGGCUAGAAUAAAAGCCACACCGACCACCCCCAUCUUCUCUCUAGAGUACGACCCCAUUCAUCAGUG